rnacentral:misc_RNA from 1 species
GAUGAAGAACGCAGCGAAAUGCGAUAAGUAGUGUGAAUUGCAGAAUUCCGUGAAUCAUCGAAUCUUUGAACGCACAUUGCGCCCUUUGGUAUUCCGAAGGGCAUGCCUGUUCGAGCGUCAUUAUCACCCCUCAAGCCCUCGGCUUGGUGUUGGACGGUUUGGUGGAGGCCCCCUCGGGGGCUCCUGCCCCUCCCAAAGACAAUGACGGCGGCCUCGUUGGACCCCCGGUACACUGAGUUCUUCACGGGACACGUAUCGGACACAUGGGUUUACGGGACACGGUCUGCCUCCCCUCAGGGAGAAUCUUUCUAAGGUUGACCUCGGAUCAGGUAGGGAUACCCGCUGAACUUAAGCAUAUCAAUAAGCGGAGGA